GACGAACGCUGGCGGUGUGCCUAAAACAUGCAAGUCGAACGGUGAUCCGGACUUCGGUCCGGGGAUCAGUGGCGAACGGGUGAGUACCACGUGGGCAACCUGCCCCAGACUCUGGGAUAACUCCGGGAAACCGGGGCUAAUACCGGAUACUCCGGCCGAACCGCAUGACGCGGCCGGGAAAGCUCCGACGGUCUGGGAUGGGCCCGCGGCCUAUC
rnacentral:rRNA from 1 species